AGCGGAUCAAGCAAGCGAGUGUCGAGCGUGUGGAUCAUGCAUGCAUGGAACCCCUCUCCUUGCUCAUUUGCUCUUGGCCUUGGUGCCGUCCUGUCCCAGGAACGGUGCGUCAGCGUUGGCGUCGCUGCAGUAGAGGCAGGGGUGUUGUUGGAACCCCUGGUCGCUCAACACCACCCUGGCGCGGCACACCACCUCGCGGUUUGUCAACGGCGCCGGGUGCGCCGCCAGCACGACCUGCAGCGCGGCGCUGAACGCCCCACACGCCCUGCCGCCGAGCGCCGCGUCGUCAUCCUGCGCCACGUCCGCCGACGUCUCGUCCGUCUGACACCCGCUCAGCAGGAUCCCGGCGUCGGCGCCGGCGCCGUGGUGGCCGUGGCGGUGGAGGACCUGGAGUUGGAACUUGGCGCUGGCGUCGGCGCCGAAGAGCGCCAGGAGGUGGUCGGCGACGUGCAGGUGGUGAUGGUGCGUGGCCGCCACGCCCGACGCCGCGGACAGGUGGCCGAGCACCGCGGCGUACGGGAGGAACCGGCCGCGUGCGCCGAGGGGGAGGGGGAGGCUCGGGCGGUCGGCGCCGCCGGCGGUGGGCCCGAUCUGCUCCUUCUCCUGGUCGAUGAGGCCGCCGCUGUGGCACGAGUCGGACGCCAUGGUGAAGGUGGCGCCCCGCGGCACGCGGUCCACCAGCUCCCGGAAGUCCACGUCUGCCAGCGGGCCGACGUCGCGUACGUUGCGUGCAUGUGAUCAGUAGUAAAAGUAAUAAGUAAUAGGUCACACAGACAGACAGAGACAGAGGUCAGAAACGACGACGCGGCGCCUCGCCGCCAUGCUUGGACGGAUCGGACGUGCGUAGACAUGUACACGGACCUGUGAUGAGGUUGAAGUCGCACGGCACGAUGGCCUCGUCGUCGCGGCGGCGGCGCGGCCCGCCGCCGCCGCCGCCGACGGGCGGGACGAGCGUGCCGUGGCCGCUGAAGUGGAAGAAGAGCACGUCCCCGGGCGCCGCGCGCGCCACCAUGUCAUCCAGCGCGCGCCUGACGGCUGCUCCGGUCGGGAGCACGCCGCCGCCGCCGCCGCGCCCGUGCUGGUCGUCGGUGAGCACGGUGACGUCGGCAGGCGCGAAGCCGAAGCGGGCGAGGAGGACGGCGCGCAUGGCGUGGACGUCGUUGAUGCAGCCCUGCAGCUCGUACGGCGUGCCGGCGUAGUUGCAGCCCACCAGGGUGGCAAGCAUCUUCUUCUUCUUCGUAUCUCCCCUCGCCGCCGCCGCCGCCGCCGCAUCCAUGGUUGUUGUCCUCCUCUUCUAGCUCUACUGCUCUAGCCUCUAGCAGCUCUAUCUCGUGUGCUUCGCGCGCGGUUGAGUGAGAGAUGGAUCUCCGCCGCAGCUCCAUCCAUGCAUUAUAUAUAAAGAACAACCGGUACAGUACGUACGAUACGAUCGAGCUAGUAGCUUACUUUGGUUGUUGAGUACGCGCGUUGCCUUGUUAUUAAUCUGUUGCUUGGCUUGUGGACGCAAGCUAAGGGAAGGACUACAUUUGCCUUUGGACUUUGGAGUAAAGCAAGCAGCUAGCUG
rnacentral:misc_RNA from 1 species